AAACAGUAUAUUGCAAAUGGUGACAUUUCAGCCAAAUUGAAAAAAACUCAGUCUGUCAGUUUAUAACAAUGAAAGUGAUUUUAUGUGCAUUCCCAUUGUUCUAAAACACAUUUAGUCAAAUCUUACUCCCUUGACAACAGUUCCUCCCAAACAUGUAGCAUGUUUGUCAAUCAGUUUCGGUUUCCCAGCUAUUCAUCUUAAGUUGGGGCGUGUCUUGCAAAGAACACUGCAGUAGUAGUAAUUUACCAACAUAAAUGAAAGUAUAGAAUAGGAAAUAAUAUGCAUACAAAUAAUCAAAAAAUUAAAUAUUUAAAAAUAAGUGUGUGAAAAUUAUAUUAAUAAGAAAUGCAACACAUUUUCUGUGUGUGACUGGUGUCUGUUCACAAUUACAUUCAUUUAUUGCUGUUAGAGUCUUUGCUCCUCCUACUAACAAGAAAACAUGAAAAUCAGAGUGUCCUGGUUAGUUUGCCCUCUCUGGUUACUUACAGUACAUCUUAUAUCUUACUUGCUUGAGAUCACCUCAGUACAGAUUUACAGCUCAACAUUUCAUCUCUCUGCUGGAACUGUGUAAAGGAUUGUCAUAAACAUGGUGAGAACACUGAAUGAAUUGUCUCAGCUGAAAGAAACCAACUUUGGUCAACCGGAUCCCAGACAUGGUCUCAGAUUGCUGUGGUGGUUUGCCGAUGAAUGUGUUGACUUUAAUGUCAAUGGCUAUAUGAUUGCACGGUACAACCCAGCAUAUGGACAUUUUGGCUUCCGUCGAUUCUAUAACAGAAUUGAAGAUGAUGAAGACAGACUUCUUCCUAACAAUAACUUACUAUACUAUGAGGUGGGAAACCUGAGCUUUGGCUCACUACCUAAAUAUGUCACUGCGAAUUACAAUAGAAACCAUGCCGACAGCAACGCAGAUCGCAUUAUUGUUGGCUUCCAACAAAAUCCACCCAGCUUUGACAGGAUUUAUGUCACUCAGCAUUCAGAUCAGCUGAAUUUAAAUACAAAUAGCACUUAUCGAAUCAGCCAUGGUCUUAUAAAGACCAUUAAAAGCCUGAGACUGGAGGAAUUCCUUAGGCGAACAAAGAAUGACCGCCCUGUAGGACUGAUUUUCCAACCCCAAUACAAUCGGGUUCAUUCAACACAUCUGCAAUCCAGACAGACUGGAUCACAGCACACACCAUACCAAGCCACUGAUAAUUCAACAUGCAUGUGCAUUGGCUUGCUGAUUUUGCUGAUUAUAAUUCUAGCGUUGUUCAUUUUUAUUUAUGUUAAUAUGAAAACAGUUGUUUAAAAACAAUGGUUUUAGAUUUUCUCUUGUUCUUUACCUUGAGAAAUUUUUCACUUCUGUGGUCUAUCAUUGUAAGUUCCAAAGAGGUUCAAUAAAUCCAAUUGUCUUUCUGAACAUGCAUAAAAUAAGGUGCGUGAGCAGGAUUUUGUGAUAUAAUUCUAGCCUGAUUUACUUCAUGCUUUAGGAUGUCAAUAAACUUAUUUGUUAUAGACCAUAAACAAUUUGCUUUAUUUUUGUUUAAAGUUGGUGUUGAUUUUGAAGACAAAACAAAACUGUUGUUCCAUUAGAGUUAGUAUUGUCUAGAUUACUCACAACAGUUAAAAGUGUAGCGUGUGCAAACACAUACAAAACCUUAAAACUUCACACAAAACGUCAUCACAAACUUAUUAAGUUUAUAGCUUGUAAUGUCCUUUCUACAUUAAAUGUAUUAAUGCAAUAGUCUAUUAAAGUUAUGUCAUCAUUUACUCACCUCAUGUUAAUCAAAACCUGUAUGACAGCUUUUGUGGAACCCCCGUCAAAUGGGAAAAUAAAUUACAUAUUUAUCUUUUUUAUAAAGAAAAUCAUAUAGGUUUGAAACGUGGGUGAGUAGGCCUAAAUGACCAUCCCAUUAAUAAGAAUAUUAAUAAACCCUAAGUACAAUUUAUCUGAAUAUCAGAAUGUUGAGUGUGACGUAUUAGCAAAUCACAAAAAACGCAAAUGUUUUUGAAGCAGGUGCAAAUCAGUUUCAAACUAAGGUAGGGAAUUAGGCUAAAAGAAAGACAGCGAUUUAAAGACAUCUUUAAACCAAUCUUAAGACAAUCUUAUUAAACUCGCUUUACAAUAAUGAGUUUGUUGUUAUUCCCUCUCGAUAAUAAUAAAACACAGGAGAAUGUUGCGCUUUCCUGUACGCAUUUAGUUUCUAUUUCCAGACUCCACUCCGCCCAGUAACAAUCCAAUAGACUAAUACCAGAAGGUGAUGCCUACAGAUCCAGCUCAUAUAAUCAGGGAAAUAGUGCAUUUUAACUUGUUUAUUGUCUUUAAUUCCUCCAGUAAAUGUAUGCUUAGGAAAAUCGUACCUUUACAAAUUCCAUCUCCGUGAUUAAAUUAGUUAAUCAUGAACUUUUGCAUUAUGAAACUAAGGGGCGUAAUUUCCACUGGGGGGGACAUGUCCCCUCCACUUGAGCAGUCUGCCUGUGUCGAUGCGGGUGUCGCGUGCACACUAAAAAUAGCUCAAUGAAAUGUUGUUUUCAAUCACGUGGACGGCAGCAAGUGAUUUUCUCCAUAGUAAUUCACUGUGACAAACUCAAAGUACUUAUGUAUAACGACCUGAACAACGACCAGGUAAGCCCAAAUUCUUGUCAAACCUUACUUGUAAUAAACACUAAGUUAAGCUGUUUUCUCGAUCGGACUCGUUCUUUUAACAGCAGCUACAGAAAUGUCGCUUCCUUGGUCGUUGUUUAGGUACGUUAAACCUCGUUAAGCGUUUUAGAAAGUCGUCCGGCUCGUCUCCUCCCGACCGCAGAUUCAGGUUUACAAGCCAUUUUUUCCUCCGUUUCUCAGUCAAUACUCGCAUUUUCCCCCUUCAUAAACAUCAACUUUUGCUACACAAUAAAAACAUAGUGUGGUUUCAUGGUUUUAUCAAUUUAAACAAUCAAAAACAAUGCAAAACAUAGAUAUUUUGAGUUUGUGAUGGUGAUGGUGAAUUCCCUAUGGAGAAAUCACUUGCUGCUCUCUAUCUGCACUUCGCUCACUUCAUGCAGAAAAUCCAUUAUUUCGUGCAUUUUGUAUCACCAUAGUACCCAAACGUAUGUAAAUGCAGGAAAUGGGAUUCAAAUCAAAAACAUUUUCCCCCAUUUUGUGUCCCCCCCACUUCUCAAACCAUAGUUACACCCCUGAUGAAACUUAUCGGGAAAUCGACAAAUAUUUUGUGUCGAAGACUUUUGGCUUGUCUUUGUUUGAAAAGCAGUUGUCAGAAACAUGGUGGGAACCUUGGCCAAUUUAUCCGAGCUGAGAAAAUCCAGAAAUGGCAGGAUGUUUACGCGGUACAACCCGGAAGACGGAUCUUUCGGCUUUCACAAAUUUCAUAAUCUAGAAGGACUUCUUCCACAUACUGAUCUGACA